UACGUAGGGGGCGAGCGUUGUCCGGAUUUAUUGGGCGUAAAGAGCUCGUAGGCCGUUCGGUAAGUCAGAUGUGAAAACUCCAGGCUCAACUUGGAGACGCCAUCUGAUACUGCCGUGACUAGAGUCCGGUAGGGGAGCACGGAAUUCCUGGUGUAGCGGUGAAAUGCGCAGAUAUCAGGAGGAACACCAGCGGCGAAGGCGGUGCUCUGGGCCGGAACUGACGCUGAGGAGCGAAAGCGUGGGUAGCGAACAGG
rnacentral:rRNA from 1 species